GCCGGGAGCCCAUGGAGGGUCGGCUGGUCAAUCCCGCCAGGACCGAGAGGUAGCAACGGUAGCUUGUCCGGCUUUGCCGUGUACGUUCCCGGCGGU
rnacentral:SRP_RNA from 1 species